rnacentral:lncRNA from 1 species
ACUUUCUUGUUAUUCAUGACCCUCCCACCAUCUUCAUGAUGGUGUGUGUAGUGGUGAAUCAUAUAAUGAGGUUUUCUAACCUCCAUGCUUGACAUACAUGAUGCUACAUGAUAAUACUUGAUUGGACUUAGUUUUAGGAUGUAUUAUUACUAUAUAAACUAUACAUAAAUGUAUAAAAGCAUGGCUGAGUUUGUGGUGUUAAUCAUACCAUGAUUAGCCAUCAUAAACCUAAGCUAUCAUAUCAAAGAUUCUAGAGUUCUUGUUAUGAUUCCAAUGGGCAAUUUGGGACCCAUGAAACCACUAAUUAUGGUGUCAUAAGCAAACUCUUAGGGCUUAGAUAUUAAUUUCAUAUAUACAUACUUUUACUACUUUAAUUUCUAAAUUCCGAAUCUUACCACUCCAUACACAUCACGUAACCCUACCAUCAAAUCCUGACUCACAAGCAAACUCGUCACUCUUUGAUAAUCGGAACGCAUAUGCAAUUUUGUUGAUGAGGAUGAUGCUAAGAAAAGAAGUAGCGUUGAUGCCUAGAUACACAUAUAGACGUUAGGGUUUAAUAUGUUGUAUCAAUUUUGUUAUGUUAUCAUGUUAUUUUUGUUAAACUUGUUGUAUUUGAAUUUCUUGUAAUGUUGACAAUUCAUCUUAUGAAAUGAAAUCGGAUUAUU